UCAUUUGUCCCUAAUAAAUAUUAAUAGUUACUUAUUAAUUAUAUUAGGUAUUAAUUAUUUAUUACUGAAUCAUGACUUCAAUGUGCAAUGUACUCUGAUAAAUUACUACAUACCAUAACUAACAAUAACCUAAACAUUGGGGGUACAACAACAUUUCUAUAAAUACAAUAAGGGUACAACAAAUGUUCUUAAAGUGAGCAGAUGAUCAAGUACGGAUUUCCUUAAACAUAAACUUUAACAUAAAUAUAAUAGUCAUCAACGGCGGAGCGGCGUGAGAACGCCGGCACAAUAUUUACAUUGUCAAAGACAGAUCAUCGCACGUAUGCUUGUCACCCGGUAGAAUUUUAUAGAUAUACAAUUGCCACCCGAUAGAAUAAUAUAGAUGUAUAAUUGACGCACAGCGUCGCUCAGAUAACGCAAAGCGUGGGAAGAAGCGGAUGCAGGUGUCGCUGACCAACAGGGAUCUGAAGGUACCGCGGGAGUCCCUGGAUGAAAUAUAAGGGGGCCCAGAUUAGGCACAUUUCAGACGUGAUCCACCAGAGUUAGAGCGAGCACCUUCACGUCACUCAGUUCAAUAUUUAUGUCUCCUGGACUUAGAAUAUUUUUCACAAGUUUAAUUUAUUUAAUUAAUUGGACUUAGAAUAUUUUUCUAUAAAAAACACUUUGAAAAUAAUUCAAGAGUCUUCAUUUUUUUACAAACAAACCAUUCGAUACUACAUCAUUCUACUGCUUGUACGUGGCACGUUACAAAUGCAAUGGAUAUACUUGACUAGCGGAAUUACGGGUAGUAAAAAUCAUUGUAACCAGUAUAAUAUCGGAAAAGUUGAAACUUUCAAACAACAACCUCCACAACAACCACCACCACCAGAAUAAACAGAUAAAACGUGAUGGAGAAAAAUCAAUUAUCAAGAAGACUUAUAUAAAAUAGCCAGUCGAACGUAAAAUUAAUAAGGAAAAACGGAAGCAGCUUAGCAGCGACUGAAUGUUAGAAUUUGUCGUUAAUAUCCCAAAAGCUCAUUUAUGGUUUUUAACGGGUUGUUCAAGGAUGCACCAAUUCACUUAAAGGCUGUAUAACUCAUUGUAUUAUGACUUGCAUCGACUUGAUUUACUCUCUUCAAGUACCAAUAAAACACUUUCAGUGUUGAUAAUUAAUUCUUUUUAUUAUAUCCAAAAGAUGAUAACAGAUACACAAUAUUAAUAAUAACACAUUCCUAUCAUUGUAAAACUAA